UGUGCGCCUAAUCUCAGGUGGUCCACCCGAGACCCCUUGAGCACCAACCCUAGUCCCCCGCGCGGCCCCUUAUUCGCUCCGACAAGAUGAAAGAAACAAUCAUGAACCAGGAAAAACUCGCCAAACUGCAGGCACAAGUGCGCAUUGGUGGGAAAGGAACUGCUCGCAGAAAGAAGAAGGUGGUUCAUAGAACAGCCACAGCAGAUGACAAAAAACUUCAGUUCUCCUUAAAGAAGUUAGGGGUAAACAAUAUCUCUGGUAUUGAAGAGGUGAAUAUGUUUACAAACCAAGGAACAGUGAUCCACUUUAACAACCCUAAAGUUCAGGCAUCUCUGGCAGCGAACACUUUCACCAUUACAGGCCAUGCUGAGACGAAGCAGCUGACAGAAAUGCUACCCAGCAUCUUAAACCAGCUUGGUGCGGAUAGUCUGACUAGUUUAAGGAGACUGGCCGAAGCUCUGCCCAAACAAUCUGUGGAUGGAAAAGCACCACUUGCUACUGGAGAGGAUGAUGAUGAUGAAGUUCCAGGUAGGAACGUUUACUUGUGGUUAACCUAGAUAAUCUUAGCAAGGGAGAAUAAGAAAUCUUUGUAGGAAAAACUACCCAGGGAAGAGGGGUGGUAAGUUAAGAUGGACAUAGAUCUUACUUAGAAUGAGAAAAAUAAUGCAGUAUUAGGUAAUUGAGAAUUAUGUUUAUAGACUUGACUUGGCUUGUUUCUGUUUGGGAUCCCAAGGAUGUGUAGGUAUCUAACCUUAAAUAUUGAAUAAAUAAGUAUAUAUAUAGUACCCUAAAUAUAACUAUUACCUGCAGAGCACUAAUGACCCUUGCUCCCUACUUUGAAACUCAUGAAUUUACAAGAAGGUGUGGAGUUGUUCAGGUAUCUUGGGAUAUAUAUAUGCAUUCUAAAAUCUGUAGCAGCAUAACUCCUUUGGGAAUCAUGAGACAUUUUUGU
rnacentral:sRNA from 1 species